rnacentral:rRNA from 1 species
AGGACGAACGCUGGCGGCGUGCUUAACACAUGCAAGUGGAGCGACGAACCAGGGCUUGCCCUGGGGCAGAGCCGCGAACGGGUGAGUAACACGUGGGUAACCUACCCCGAUGAUUGGGACAACCCGAGGAAACUCGGGCUAAUACCAAAUGUGCUCGCAGUCUUUGAGGACUUCGAGUAAAGAUAGCUUCGGCCUUCGCAUCGGGACGGGCCCGCGGCCCAUUAGCUUGUUGGUGGGGUAAAGGCCUACCAAGGCAACGAUGGGUAGCUGGUCUGAGAGGACGAUCAGCCACACUGGGACUGAGACACGGCCCAGACUCCUACGGGAGGCAGCAGUGGGAAUCGUUAGCGGCAAUGCGCGAAAGCGUAGACGCAGCAACGCCG